rnacentral:rRNA from 1 species
GAUGAACGCUGGCGGCGUGCCUAAUACAUGCAAGUCGAGCGAACAGACGAGGAGCUUGCUCCUCUGACGUUAGCGGCGGACGGGUGAGUAACACGUGGAUAACCUACCUAUAAGACUGGGAUAACUUCGGGAAACCGGAGCUAAUACCGGAUAAUAUAUUGAACCGCAUGGUUCAAUAGUGAAAGACGGUUUUGCUGUCACUUAUAGAUGGAUCCGCGCCGCAUUAGCUAGUUGGUAAGGUAACGGCUUACCAAGGCAACGAUGCGUAGCCGACCUGAGAGGGUGUUCGGCCAAACGGAACCUGAGCACGGUCCAAGCUCCCUAGGGAGGCAGGAGGUGGGAAUCUUUCCGAAUUGGGCGAAACUUUGCGGGGGAACGGCGGGGUGGGGAAUGAGGGUUUCGGAUCCGUAAACUCUUUUUAUUAGGAAAGACAAAUGUGGAAAGUACUAAUCACGUUUUGGCGGUUCCUUAUCAAAAAAGCACGGGUAACUUCGGG